UACAGAGGUCUCAAGCGUUGUUCGGAUUCAUUGGGCGUAAAGGGUGCGUAGGUGGCGAGGUUAGUCAGGUGUGAAAUCUCGGGGCUCAACCCCGGAAACUGCACUUGAUACUGCCUUGCUAGAGUACUGGAGAGGAGAUUGGAAUUUACGGUGUAACAGUGAAAUGCGUAGAUAUCGUAAGGAAGACCAGUGGCGAAGGCGAAUCUCUGGACAGUUACUGACACUGAGGCACGGAAGGCCAAGGGGAGCGAAACGGG
rnacentral:rRNA from 1 species